UGCAGCCGUCCCCUCACAGCCUCCACCGGGCAUCGGUACCGAAAGGAGCAAAACAUCGCUUACUGGGAGGGAGCGCGCCGACGCACGUGUUUACUGUUCGCCGCUCUCUAGACCAAAAAUGACCCCCACCCUCCUCGUCUUCCGCCACAUCCUCCUCCUUCCGUGUUGCCCGCCGCCGCCCGCGUGCACACCUUCUCUCCAGUGGACACCUCGCGACAUCUCGCGUACCUCACAUGCCCCGGAGCUUUUCUCGUGCGUCACGGAUGGAAGCGACCUGUUACCACAGGAUGGUGAUGGUGGCAGCGGCGCCGAGGAGGAGGAAUGGUGCUGAAGGACGAAAGAAAGGAAAUAGCGGGGAAGAGUCAAUGAGAGGCUGUCAUUCGGUUCCGGUCCAGAGCACUCGUAGCCGGGGCGGAGGAGGACAGCACCGGCACCACAGACAAGAUGAGGCCGCUCGGAGGCGCCCGGUCCCGCCCAGUCCCGCCCGGCCGUCGGCGCCUGGCAACCAGCGGGGCAGACGGAGAGAAGCGCCGUGCAGGCAGCGAGUGUCACACCCUCCGGAGCUGGACGGGACUUCUCCCUCGACAUGGAGGCGACCCGAGCCGGCAGUGCAGCCCGGAGAGGCGCUGCAGGCCCGAUGGGAGAGGAUCCGCUGCUGGACCCGGGGGAAGCAACCAGAGCUUAUGGCGCCUGAAAAGACCUGAAGCUGGGAAAUAAACACAGAGAGGAGAAUGAAGAGGAGGAGGAGGCCGUGACUGAACAUACACACACACACACACAUCUCAUGAAACAUGACAAACACACUCACACUGUUUUAUUUUCUAUAGAUACAAGAGGUGUGAGCGCACUGUAACGGGCCAUCACGUGAAAUAUGAAGAAAAAGAGGUUCACGAGGUGCGGAAGUUAUCAACACGUGAACCUCUUCCUCAAACACAAAUCUGAAGCACUUUACAGUCACAUCUUUUCAAUUUUCAAUUCCCACCAAAGCAACAGAGACUCAGUGCGCCGGUCUCCAUCAUCACGGCUCUAUCUUCGAGGAAACCAUCCACCCGGACAUCGCUCCAACGUAAAUUAAAUUCUCAGCUAACCCACAUGCUGGCAGAUUUCAGGUCAUCCCUGUUUUCGCACAAACAUCAACUUGUGUCAUCACCUUGCUGCUUCGCAUGAUAGUGGAACAGCUCAAGAGGUUUUCAAAACUUCCUUUUGCUUCAGGGUCACACAGUUGGAUAUUCAUUAAGCCGAGCAGGAAGCUGGCGCUGACGGGAUUGUACUUGUUAGAUGUGAUUUAGAGCAGUGGUCGGACCUCCCGCUGCUGGAUUCAGCUACAUGCACUCUAAUCAUUCGAUUAUUGCCAGAGGAAGGCAGUGCUGCAAACUCUAAUCCAAUGCCACGUACAAAAUGUUGAGUGUGGUUAUGUACUCACGAGUUGGUUACCUGCCAUUCGGUUCAUAGGGUCUGUCUGUUCUUGUCUCUUGGCAUGUACCUCUUACAUUGUAAUUUCCCCCGUGUUUUGUCUCCAUUACACUAAUGUGAACUGGAUGUGAAGCAGAAUGGGAAACACAGAUCACUGUAUGAUUAACUGAAGAGAAGAGAAAAGCAAAACCGAGGAAGGAAUAGGCCUUGGUAUAGUUAUAUAUAUAUAUUUUCUUUUUUAAGAAACUGGUGCGAAAUCAAUACUUUUAAGAUGACAUUGGGUCCUUAAUGUUGCAGAGUAAUACUUAUCUUGAAAUAAAGAGAAGAUUAACAUAAUUGAGGUGAUACUAGCUAGCUGUAGGCUAACAUUACGUGCUGCCAGAAUUCUAGUGAGAUGCCACCAGAGUUAAGUGUAAAGUUAAGUAAGCAGGGAAUCAUUUCCACGGCCGAUACGAGGCACCGAUAGCUGCAUUGUGCCUAACUAGAGUGUUCUGUAAAGACAUAAACAUUUUAAAAAAUAAACAUUGGCUACACUUCUUAAUUCUUCUUAAAUUCUUGGGCAUGUUAGUUUCCUAUCGUUAUUAUAUAUAUAUGCAGACAGAAAGUAAAAAACAUUACUGCUGUGGCUUGAAAGUGUCAAAAUCAACAGAAAAACUAAAAUAUUAAUAUUCACCCGAUGCAGGGAGGUUCUAAAUAAAAAUUCAGCAAAUUCCACCGCCUUGGAAACAUGGUCAGAUGUGUACAGAGAGGAGAAGUAGAAGCAGAGAUACUGGAGGGAAAUAACAGAAAGUAGAGUUCCUGGUGAGUUCAGAUACAAAUAGACACAGGCACGCUGCCAUACACAUGGCUGCUGUCUGUUCCUAACUAGCUCCUAGCUGACGCCAGCAUGUGCACUUUGUAUGUUGACUGUUGAGAGAGAAUAAACGUGGACCACACUGGCUAAUCGUACAAAGUGAAAAUAUGCUUUUUAUUGUCAGAGAUUUGGUACUUACCUCACAAGAAGCUUUAGUCAUUUGUACUACUUGGAUUUAAGUGGAAUACAGUUUGAUGUCGUAUUGAGAAGUUAGAGGUGUUCAGCUUUUUUCUUACAACUCAUAACAUAUUACAUAUUUCAAACGUAUCCACUCGAAAAUUAACAAAAAUAACUGUAUUUAGCUUCUUUCUUUAUAAUCCAGCUCUGAUGCAGCUGUGGGAGUCAACACCUAACACUGAGGCUGAUUUCAAUGAGCCUCAUUCACAAAACGUUGUUAAGAAGAAGUUUCUCAAAACCUAUUUACACUGUUUUUAUGAAGAUUCUGACUGACUUGCUUGUACAAAUUAAUGAGUUAUGUGUUUUCUUCAAUAUUAAAGUUUUUCGAUGGGAUUUAAUUUACUAUAGUAUGUUCAUACAUACAUACUGUUCAUCAUUUGUAAUCAUUUCCUGGUAUAUAUUUUUUUUGUUUACAACUAAAGAACAAAUUAACCAAAAAAUCUGAGAAGAUAUAAGUGAAUAAAGCAAAAUGAGAUGAAAUAAGGAACAGCACCUUUUGAUGAUAUGCUACAUGGUUUCCUGUCAAUCUUAUUCUAAAUUUGGCAAAUUUGUACCAGUGUGCCUGAGUCAGACCCUGUCUCUAAAGAUGAAAUCUCUAAGGGUACCUAAAAGAAAGUUCUCGGUUACAGUUAGUUAUAAAAAGUAUUAUUAAUUGCUGGCUAUUUAUGUUGGGAGGUGUCAGAAAUACAACAAUUAAUUGUAUUUGGGAUGAUCCUUUUCUUAUAAUGCUUAAAACCUAAAGAUAAUUCUGUUGACUCUACAGUCAAAUGAGUUUCUGUGCUGUCGGUUUGUUUGGUGAGUGUCGCCCGGUGCUACCGUUGAUUCUGUGUGACGUGCCAGAAGCAGCUGGAGUGUUUCCACCUUCACAGUGAGCCGAGUCGCUUUGGAUUCAGACAGGAGCUGUGUGAUGUAGGUAGUUUCAAGUUGUUGGGCUGGAUGCUUAAGAUCACAGGAACCUGAAACUGCCUGAAUCACAGCAGCUGCAUGCCAAUAGACCGCGGAGAGGAGGAGGCCGAGCCCAGCGAGCACUUCAGCCGACACCACUUCUGUCAGCUGUUUACUCUGCACUUUGUUCAGUAGUCAGGAUGCUUUUGUUUUUUUCUAAACGGACAAUCUGAUGGGUAAAACAAACUGCAGCCUCUUUUGAUUUGUUGCGCUAUCCAAACGUUACAUGUGAAUUCAAAACACAUGUUCUUUGAUGUGACCUUGAAAAUGGUUACAUGUUAGUUUUCCCAUGUGCUGCAGAAGCCUCAAUAAAUAUGGUCUUUGUUUGCAGUGAGGUGCUUCCAAAUGUCUUCAUGUUUUCAUCUCUCCAGCAGCUCUGUGCCUACUGUACAUGACAUGGAUAUCUUUUAGAGUGAAAGGUACA